UCUGGGAAGCCACAGACUCAAGUGUGGAUCUCAGUCUUCCUGCCAUGGCCAGAGUCAGUGGGUUUCUACACGUCUGAGACCUCUUGGCAAAGAUGCUGGGACUCGCCCUAGAAACAUGGAACCAGAAUCUCAGAGGCUGAAGACCUGGCAUCCAUACUUUUUGGAAAUUAUUAAGUCCCACCAGCCCAAAGAUUUGGGUGGAGCCGACUUCCAGACCCAGUUCAGGAGAGCCCAGAGACAUCACAAGGACACCAUCGCCCUCAGUCUGGUCUGGAUCCUAUAUGCACAUGCUGCUCUGUGUGCUGUGAAAGCCCACAUCUCAUUCUGGCCCAUUCUCUUCUCAUCUAGCAUCUCCUCACUCCUCAGAGACCUCUGGUACCCGACUUGCCAGGGCAAAACUGCCAACAUGGAAGGGAAAGUAAGAAGAUUAAUUGAAGAUUGACCUAACCUUCCUGUAUAUCUCAAUGAUCUGACCUCAGCAUUAGAAUUAAACAGCCAGAGAUUAGAUUCUGCAGGCAUAAACCAAUAACACACAAAUUUUGGCAAAUCAUAUGCAAAUAACACAUGUGACUUUGUCCUGGAUUGCUCUCCUUAGAUGUGUCUCUCAGGAGCAAGCAAAGAGAGAUUAUUGGCAAAGUACACUCAAGAUGUAGGAGCCAAAGGAACAAGAGACGAAAUGGUAGAUUCUUAAACCUCCACUGCAUGCCAGGAAAUUUUACGUGUGUCAUUUGCUUAACAUCUUGAGUGGCCGCUGUGUGCCUGGCAUGGUAACAGAGACAGUGAAAUAAACAAGAAGCAGCAUGCCCUCCUGCUCCCACCUGUGAUGACUUCUUUGCUUCCAGCAACCCUGUGAGCUAUUUUCAUUCCUAGAUUGCAGAUUACUGAUUGUCAACUUUGACUGCACGUUGGAAUAACCUGGAUUUAAAAAAUAUUGAUGCUGGGGGUCCCACCCCCAGAGGUUCUGAUAAUUUGGCAUGGAUCCCUUUGGCCCUCACUGUCCUCAGAGUUCACCUGUGGGGCAUGAAAGAAAAAGUUAUCUUGACACUUGCAGUUACCUCUGCUCACAAGACUUGAAGAAGGUGACUGUAUCUCCAGCUUCAAGGAUAGAUCCUGACUGGACAACCCCAAUCCUUCCCAAUGAUUGUUUAGUAAAGGACAUGUGACUCAAUUUUGGCAGAUGAGAAGUGAGAGGAAG